GCUCUUUCUCUCUGCAAAGCCAGAUAAUUUAUGAGAAGAAGAAAAAAAACGAUGGCGUGCAAGUGUGGAGGAUGCCACUACACUUUGAACGCAAAAUCGAGCUUCGAUCGCGAUUUAGCGAAAACGCGUAAGUUUCUUCUUCGAAACGUUUCGGCGCUCCGCAUGUUCACAAACGGCUUCUUUCGUAGUAAAUGGCGAUCCGUUGCCGCUAACCGUCGCAUUUUCAGCAUGGAUGCCCGAGAGAAAUCGAGAUCUACAAUACUGGAAUCAUCAAAAGAUAAGAGGGUGCCUAUUUUUGUAAUGAUGCCCAUGGAUGCAUUUGCUCUUGAUGCCUCUGGGAGUCCAAGGAUUAGAAAAAUCAAGGCCUUAACCGUAUCUCUAAAAGCACUCAAGUUGGCAGGUGUUCAUGGAAUUGGAGUUGAGGUCUGGUGGGGAAUAGUGGAGCGUUUUUCUCCUUUUGACUACAAUUGGUCUCUAUAUGAAGAGCUUUUUAAAUUGAUAUCUGAUUCAGGGCUGAAGUUGCAUGUUGCUUUGUCUUUUCACUCAAAUGUUCACUCAUCUAAUGGAAAAGGGGGUGUGAGUCUUCCUCUGUGGAUUUUAGAGAUUGGUGAUGCAAAUAAAGAUAUAUACUAUCGAGAUCGAUAUGGCUUCUCCAACAAUGAUUAUCUUACACUAGGGGUGGACCAAGUUCCUCUAUUGUCUGGCCGGACUGCUCUCCAAUGUUAUGAAGACUUCAUGCUUAGUUUUGUUAACAAAUUCGAAUCUUUUAUAGGGAGUGUAAUUGAAGAAAUAAGCAUUGGUCUUGGUCCUUCUGGAGAACUUAGGUAUCCUGCUCAUCCUUUUGGUGAUGGUAGAUGGAAAUUCCCUGGCAUUGGUGAAUUCCAGUGUUAUGAUAAGUACAUGAUGGAGGACUUAAAGAUGGCUGCCUGCCGAGUAGGAAAGCCACAAUGGGGAGACAGAGGGCCACAGAAUGCUGGCUGUUACAACAGUUUUCCAUCAGGCGUGCCCUUUUUUGAAGAGGGACAGGAAAGCUUUCUAUCUGAUUAUGGUCGUUUCUUCCUGGAAUGGUACAGUGGUAGGCUGAUUUGUCAUGCAGAUGCCAUUCUUGCAAAGGCAGCAAAGAUACUGAAAAAAUACCAAGAAGAUGAGCAAACUUCUGUUAUGUUGGUGGCUAAAAUUGGUGGAAUUUAUUGGUGGUACCAGACUGUAUCACACCCUGCUGAACUUACUGCUGGUUACUACAACACUGCUCUCAGGGAUGGUUAUGAUCCAGUCGUCUCAGUGUUGUCUCGCCAUGGAGCUGCUUUGCAUAUUCCCUGCCUAGAGAUGAUCGACAGUGAAACCCCACCGACAUAUCUUUGCAGUCCUGAAGGAUUACUGAAACAGAUACAGUCUGUCUCAAAGAAAAGGAUAAUUAAUGUGAUUGGAAGAAAUACAACCGAACGGCUUGACAAAACUGGACUAUGGAAAAUUCAUUCAAACUGUUACAAUCCCCAGGCAGAAGUUGUAAGAUCAUUUACUUAUUUCAGAAUGAAUGAUAGUAUAUUUAGGGUUGAAAAUUGGAAUAACUUUGUACCUUUUGUCAGAAUGAUGAGCACAGAUUUGUAAUAUACUGUUUCAACUGUCUAACCAUUUUACUAAAGCUAAUUAAGAUCACCCUGCCCCUACCUUAUUUUUUUUUCCUGACCUGGGGUACAAAGGGAGAAUAGCAAAAGCUUUUGUAGCCCUGUCAUAUAUCUAGUUAUACAUCCUUACAUCCUCAAUCAGUCCGGCUUUGAAAUUUUUUUAUGAUGUUGGAAAAUAAAUCCAAAAAAUAUAGAAAAGUAGAAACUUGGUUGGCUAGAUAUUAGGGUUCCAGCAUAUUGAGAUAUCCAUGUUAGAAGUGAAGUUGGUUUUGCCACCAUGCUUGAUGCUUUUAUGUAGCUUGCUGGAGCUUCUUCUCCAGGAGGUGUGAAAAAGGCACCAUUGAGCAUCAUAUCUCCUUCUGAUCUCCAAUUCCAGUUCUUCCACUCAGCAUCUAAUGAGCUUUCACGGUUUGUCACCUGAUUAAAAAAUAAAUUAUUGACAACACAUGGAAGCUCAUGGAGUAAAUUUUGAAGAGAUUGAGUUUGUUAUUUUAGGAGAAAGAUUCCAUAGAAUAGCCAGCUUUUCAAAAAUUUUAUGCUUGUCUUCUAGCUCUUUUGUGUUCUGACUUUCAAGGCCAACAUGUUGGUCUUGUUAUUUGAAGUUAUGUCUUGUUUCCCUACCAGAGUCUACAGUAUUAACAAUGUUGUGAAAAUACCCAUGCCUGCACCUGAAACAUUUUGGCAAACUAUUUAGCAACCAUUUUUAACGUUUAUAUAGGUAUGACUGUUGAUGAUGAAGCAUAUAUCAUGCUCCCCAAAGAAAUUGAAGGCUAUUGUGCUUGAUGUUUUGUUGAUAUCUCCUGAUCAAUUGGAGAGGAGUUUCAAUCCAAGAGAUGGGUUGGGU